rnacentral:rRNA from 1 species
AUACGGAGGAUCCGAGCGUUAUCCGGAUUUAUUGGGUUUAAAGGGUGCGCAGGCGGGAGAUUAAGUCGGCGGUGAAAUUUUUCCGCUCAACCGUAAAAGUGCCUUCGAAACUGGUUUCCUUUAGUGUAGAUGAAGUAGGCGGAAUUUGUGGUGUAGCGGUGAAAUGCAUAGAUAUCACGAGGAACUCCGAUUGCGCAGGCAGCUUACUAAACUACUACUGACGCUCAGGCACGAAGGCGUGGGGAUCAAACAGGAUUAGAUACCCUGGUAGUCCACGCAGUAAACGAUGAUUACUAGCUGUUUGCGAUACAAUGUAAGCGGCUGAGCGAAAGCGUUAAGUAAUCCACCUGGGGAGUACGCCGGCAACGGUGAAACUCAAAUGAAUUGGCGGGG